GCCCUGCAGACACUGCAUCCCUGUGGGCGGAUUCGGGGGGGGGCAGCACUUUGGGCGGACUCGGGUGCAGGCACCGGGGGGCCCAGACCUUGAGCUGUGUCAUGGGCCCCAACAUUUCUGAUGGCAGCCCUGCUCACUAAUUCUAAUCUAUACGAUGUGUGGAGAACCUUAUAUCCCUCUGGUAAACAAUACACUUAUCUCUCCGCGGUACACAACUGCUAUACGAGAAACAACAGAUUCUAUAUCAGUGGCCCACACUUUAACCAAGUACAGGAUUGCGUCAUAGAGAAAAUGACGUGGUCGGAUGACGCUCCCAUAACUCUGACGUUGGAAGAUAAAUUCGCCUUUAAACCCCCAUGGCGACUAAAUGAAACCCUAUUACGCAAUCCCUUGUUUGUAAACUACGUGACUGCUCAGCUCACACAAUAUUUCACCACAAAUACUACUCCCGACAUGUCAAAACACACAAUAUGGUUGGCACAAACAGGCGUCACACCUUAAACGGACGUCAGAUAGGCAGAUGCAGGUUUGGGAAGAAGCCUUGAAGGAAGGUAACAAAGAUAAUGCGCAGAGGCCGUCAGGCAGCACCAAGGAGAAAAUCAUACUCCUUCAAACAAGAAUAAGGGAAGCCCAUGUUAAAAAAACUGGCCGACUCAUGCACAAACUCAAGCAAGUACAGUACUCACAGGGCAACAGAGCAGGGAAAUUAUUAGCAAACACAGUGAAAAGUGUACAAGCUAAGUCUAGGAUCCCUUAUAUUCUUAACGAUCUGAACAAAAUUAUCUCACCACUGGAAAUAGGGAACACAUUUGCUAAGUUUUAUGAAUCCCUUUAUAACCUCUCAGAAGACGCCUCACAAUACCAGGCUACCAUGGAUGAAGUCAAAGAUUAUCUUACAAAAAUACAAACCACGACCCUAACUGAGUCCCAAAAAGAAUCCCUAACGAACCCCAUAACCAAGGAAGAGAUAGAACAAGCAAUUGCACAAUUACCAGCCCUCAAAACACCAGGUCCAGACAGCCUACCAAACAGUUACUAUAAAACCUUCAGCUCGGUCUUAACCCCUCGCCUCCAAUCAAUCUUCAACGAGGCAAUCCUACACGCACAAUUGCCCCAGGACAUGCUGAGGGCUACCAUUAUAACCCUACCCAAACCAGGCAAAGCCCCAGACAGGUACAAAAACUUCCGCCCAAUUUCCCUCUUAAACUCGGACGCUAAACUAUUCGCUAAGAUCAUUACAAACAGAAUGGCAGAUGCCCUGGUCGCUCUUGUACACCCAGACCAAUCGGGGUUUGUGAAAAGUAGAAAGGGUACUGAUAACACUAGAUACACGUGCUGGAUAUAAUGGAAUCAAUGAGACAGAGGGGCGAGAGGGGUCUCCUGCUUUCUCUGGAUGCAGAGAAAGCUUUUGACCGGUUGAGUUGGAACUUCAUGGAGGCCACACUAGACAAAUACGGGUUUCCGGCCCAGUUUGUAGCAGCGGUAAAGGCCCUAUACAACCAGCCGACAGCGCAAGUGCUAUAUGGAGGCUUUAUGUCUGAGAGAUUCUCCAUCACCAACGGCACACGCCAAGGGUGCCCCCUCUCUCCUCUCCUUUAUGUCCUAGCACUCGAACCAUUGGCAACCCAAAUUAGAGCAAAGGAAGACAUUAAGGGAGUACUGAUAGGUAAGACAGAACACAAG